rfam:Schistosoma mansoni strain Puerto Rico chromosome W, complete genome
GAGCAUAUGAGGAGUCCCAUAAUAGGACGAAACGGCCGUCCAGUGC